rnacentral:rRNA from 1 species
CCUACGGGUGGCUGCAGUCGAGGAUCUUCGGCAAUGGGCGAAAGCCUGACCGAGCGACGCCGCGUGCGGGAUGAAGGCCUUCGGGUUGUAAACCGCUGUCGUUGGGGAGGAAAUGCAGGGGGGUUCUCCCCUCUGUUUGACCUAUCCAAGGAGGAAGUACGGGCUAAGUUCGUGCCAGCAGCCGCGGUAAGACGAACCGUACGAACGUUAUUCGGAAUUACUGGGCUUAAAGGGUGCGUAGGCUGCGCGGAAAGUUGGGUGUGAAAGCCCUCAGCUCAACUGAGGAACUGCAUUCAAAACUACCGUGCUCGAGGGAGACAGAGGUGAGCGGAACUCAAGGUGGAGCGGUGAAAUGCGUUGAUAUCUUGAGGAACACCGGUGGCGAAAGCGGCUCACUGGGUCUUUUCUGACGCUGAGGCACGAAAGCCAAGGUAGCAAACGGGAUUAGAUACCCUUGUAGUC